CUGUGGCAAUAGAGCAGUAUCGGUCUGCUCUAUUCUUGUAAGUAUAACUUAUCUUAAGAUACUAUUGUGUUUUUUCAUACUGAAAGCACUAUCUACUGUUUUAUAUAUAUCCUGUGGAAACCUUUUAUACAACAUCGGAGAGGCGGACCUAUCUCCCCAGCACUAAAGAACAACGCACACCUGAGUAGGUCCUAGCCUACACCAAAGGAAUUCCAAGCCGAAUAGACGGAUCAACCAUCUAAGUACAUCCGAUAGUGGGGAUUAAACCACUAAGUGCCUCUUCUCCUAGAGCUGGUUAGAGCUCCAACAAAUGUGAGUGAAAUACCUUUCCUUUGAAUAUAUACCACAUCUGGACAUAUAAUAUUUCACCAUUGGCAGCUUUUUUCUCAAUUUAUGUCUGGAGCUAUCCUCCUGUUCUAAAGUAAGCCAUGAUUGGUUUCCCUGGACUGCGUCUAACCAUAGUAAGAGAUGAGUUGCAAUACAUGCUUUAUGAAUUUUAUCAACAUCUGGAAAAGCUAUUCCUCCCUUCUUAAAACGCCUUUGGAGGAUAUCAAAAGCUAUUCUUGAUGGUUUAUUUGCCCAAAUGAAUUUGGAAAUCAGGCUUGAAAUUGAUUAAAAAUUCCUUUCCCCACUUUAUAUGGAAUCUCCCUAAAAUAAUAUAUGAGUUUCGGUAAUAGAAAUGCUUUGGUCAUAUUUAACCCUCCUAUCCAGGAUUUCUCAAUCUUCUUCCAUUUAUCCACCUGUUGCUGCCAAUCCUUUAGUAGAUUAUCAUAAUUUGUUUGAAUCAUUUUAUGGAUAUCAAAGGAUAUUUUAAUCCCCAAAUAAUCAAUAGUGUCCCUUGCCCAUAAGAAGUGAAAACUUGCAGUCAGAAGAUCUUUCUGAGUUUCGGACAAGAAGGAAGCUAAGAUUUGUGUUUUUUUCAUGUUGACCUUAUAAUUGGAGAAGCUACUAUAGACAGAUAUAGCAUCCAUUACCGAUGGAAUUGAAAUCAUCGGAUCAGUCAAGGUAAAAAGAACAUCAUCUGCAAAAAGGGAAAUCUUGAUUUCUCCAUGUAAGAUUUAAUUCACUUUACAUUAGUAUUUUGUCUAAUCAGAGUGGCUAGUGGUUCAAUUGUAAGGAUAUAUAGCAGGGGAGCCAAAGGGCAACCCUGUCUUGUACCAUUUGUAAUCUCAAAGGGGUCAGACUCAAAGAGAGAAUUAGAUAUUUUGGCUGUGGAAUUCCUAUACAACAGCAAAGUUUUAUGUCUGAAUUGUCCUUCUAGGCCAAAAUGACGCACGGCAGAGUCAAGGAAUCUCCAACUGACUCUGUCAAAGGCCUUCUCAGCAUCAAGGGCCAUAGCAACAGAUCACCACUUAUGCUAAUUUAUUCUAUGAAUUAAAUUAAAUAUCCUUCAAGUAUUAUCUGUAGUACCUCUCCCUCUCACAAAUCCAGACUGAUCAACAUCAAUCAACUCUCCGAUAACUUCUUUAAAACGGUUAGACAAUAUUUGAGAAAAUAUUUUCAUAUUUAUAUUAAUAUAGAUAUGGGUCUAUAGUUAGCAAUAAGUGUUGAAUCAUUCCCUGGUUUAGGUAUGGUAAUAAUUGAUGCCAACAACAUCUCAUUGGGGAAGGGGGUAUCGUCAGAUACCCUCUUAAACAUCUCUAAAAGGAUAGAGGCGAUAAAUCUAGAAAAAGUUUUAUAAAAGAUUGCAGGAAAGCCGUCGGGGCCCGGUGCCUUAUUUAUUUUUAAGUUAUCUAUUAUUUUAGUUACCUCUGAUAAUAGAAACGGGGCGUUUAAUAUUUCCAAUUUCCUUUGAUUAAUUUUUGGAAGCUUAAGCUUACUUAAGAAAUUAUAGAUUUCUACAUUACUUUUCCCUAGCUCCUCUAGAUUAUAUAAAGAUCUAUAAAAUUCUGCAAAUGCAUUCACAUUUGUCGUUUGGUGAGGUUAAGUGUUUAUCCCCUAAAACUAUUUUUUUUUUUUUAUAA